GACAGAGGGUGCAAACGUUGUUCGGAAUUACUGGGCGUAAAGCGCGUGUAGGCUGCUCUGCAAGUCAGGUGUGAAAGCCCUGGGCUCAACCUAGGAAGUGCACUUGAAACUGCGGAGCUUGAAUGCCGGAGAGGGUAGCGGAAUUCUCGGUGUAGAGGUGAAAUUCGUAGAUAUCGAGAGGAACACCGGUGGCGAAGGCGGCUACCUGGACGGCGAUUGACGCUGAGACGCGAAAGCGUGGGGAGCAAACAGGAUUAGAUACCCUGGUAGUCCACGCCGUAAACGAUGGGUGCUAGGUGUCGCGGGCUUUGACCCCUGCGGUGCCGUAGCUAACGCAUUAAGCACCCCGCCUGGGGAGUACGGUCGCAAGACUAAA
rnacentral:rRNA from 1 species